AUCAACAGCUGCAGUGCAGUCUCAAAUGCUUUUGAUGUAUCAAACCAAUUGUCUGUUUCAAACUUGUGGUUAAAGGCCCAUUUGUAAUGGAAAGAACCCUACCUUUUUAUUUGUGGACCUGUUAGUGUGCGCUCUACUGCAUCCAAGUGAACUGGCCUGGUGCCCUGGCUUGGGACUACUCCAAACAAUGGAUGGCAAGCUGUGAAGCAAGGCCAGGAGCCUGAAGACCUUCAACAUACUUGUCAAGCCCAGGGUCUGGCGAGCUGUUUUUCUGGCGUGCUGACAUCUGGCAAGCCCCCCCAACCCCCCCAAGCGCUCCGGGGAGCCUCCCAGGCCUCCUGAUUAAGCCUCUAAUAGAAUAUUAGCAUUUGCUCUCAGGCACCGCAUCGUUGACGCCGCGGGGGGGGAUUCUGCGCAUGCGCAUGGAGGAUUGACCAAAGCUCAACGUUGUGCUCACACUCGAGAAAGAAGACAAAAACUACACAGCUCUGACUUCAAGGCUCUCCGGCAGCGGAAAAGUGCAGCGCGUGAAAAUAAAAGUCAAACCGAGCGAGCACAGCUCCGACAACUCAGG